UACGGAAGGGGCUAGCGUUGUUCGGGAUUACUGGGCGUAAAGAGCGCGUAGGCGGCUUACCAAGUUGGGGGUGAAAUCCCGGAGCUCAACUCCGGAACUGCCUUCAAAAGUGGUAGGCUCGAGUCCGCGAGAGGGUCGUGGAAUUCCGAGUGUAGAGGUGAAAUUCGUAGAUAUUCGGAAGAACACCAGUGGCGAAGGCGACUGUCCGGCGCGUUACUGACGCUGAGGUGCGAAAGCGUGGGGAGCAAACAGG
rnacentral:rRNA from 1 species